GACGAACGCUGGCGGCGUGCUUAACACAUGCAAGUCGAACGGAAAGGCCCUGCUUUUGUGGGGUGCUCGAGUGGCGAACGGGUGAGUAACACGUGAGUAACCUGCCCUUGACUUUGGGAUAACUUCAGGAAACUGGGGCUAAUACCGGAUAGGAGCUCCUGCUGCAUGGUGGGGGUUGGAAAGUUUCGGCGGUUGGGGAUGGACUCGCGGCUUAUCAGCUUGUUGGUGGGGUAGUGGCUUACCAAGGCUUUGACGGGUAGCCGGCCUGAGAGGGUGACCGGCCACAUUGGGACUGAGAUACGGCCCAGACUCCUACGGGAGGCAGCAGUGGGGAAUAUUGCACAAUGGGCGGAGGCCUGAUGCAGCAACGCCGCGUGCGGGAUGACGGCCUUCGGGCUGUAAACCGCUUUCGCCUGUGACGAAGCGUGAGUGACGGUAAUGGGUAAAGAAGCACCGGCUAACUACGUG
rnacentral:rRNA from 1 species